rnacentral:rRNA from 1 species
UGGUAGAGGAGCAUUCUUAACUGGGACGAAGCUGUACCGUAAGGAGCAGUGGACUGUUAAGAAGAGAGAAUGCCGGAAUGAGUAGCGAGAGAGAAGUGAGAAUCUUCUCGGCCGAAUAUCUAAGGUUUCCAGAGUAAAGCUGAUCUUCUCUGGGUAAGUCGGGACCUAAGGCGAGGACGAAAGUCGUAGUCGAUGGACAACAGGUUGAAAUUCCUGUACCGCGUAUAAACAGAACUGUGGGGACGCAGAAGGAUAACGAAAUCGGGGAAUGGAAAAACCCGUUCAAGCACAAAGGCUGGAUGAUAGGCAAAUCCGUCAUCCAUAAGGCUGAAGUGUGAUGAGGACCGAAUUAAAGUAGGGAAGUUCGUGAAUCCAAGCUGCCAAGAAAAGCCGCUAUUGUUUUAUACGUGCCCGUACCGUAAACCGACACAGGUGGAUGAGGAGAGAAUCCUAAGGCCGACGGGAGAAGCGUUGUCAAGGAACUCGGCAAAAUGACCCCGUAACUUCGGGAGAAGGGGUGCCUACGCAAGUAGGCCGCAGUGAAUAGGCCCAAGCGACUGUUUAGCAAAAACACAGGUCUCUGCAAAACCGAAAGGUGAAGUAUAGGGGCUGACGCCUGCCCGGUGCUGGAAGGUUAAGGGGAAGGGUUAGCAGCAAUGCGAAGCUCAGAACUUAAGCCCCAGUAAACGGCGGCCGUAACUAUAACGGUCCUAAGGUAGCGAAAUUCCUUGUCGGGUAAGUUCCGACCCGCACGAAAGGCGUAACGAUUUGGGCACUGUCUCGACAACGCGCCCGGUGAAAUUGAAGUACCGGUAAAGAUGCCGGUUACCCGCGACAGGACGGAAAGACCCCGUGGAGCUUUACUCUAGCUUGAUACUGGGAUUCGGCAUUACAUGUACAGGAUAGGAGGGAGACUUUGAAGCCAGGACGCCAGUUUUGGUGGAGUCAAUGUUGGGAUACCUCCCUUGUAGUGUUGGAUUUCUAACCUACUACCGUGAUCCGGUAGAGGGACAAUGUCAGGUGGGGAG